rnacentral:rRNA from 1 species
UACGAAGGGGGCUAGCGUUACUCGGAUUGACUGGGCGUAAAGGGCGCGUAGGCGGCUUGUACAGUCAGACGUGAAAUUCCUGGGCUCAACCUGGGGGCUGCGUUUGAUACGGGCGGGCUUGAGUUCGGAAGAGGGUCGUGGAAUUCCCAGUGUAGAGGUGAAAUUCGUAGAUAUUGGGAAGAACACCGGUGGCGAAGGCGGCGACCUGGUCCGAUACUGACGCUGAGGCGCGAAAGCGUGGGGAGCAAACAGG